rnacentral:rRNA from 1 species
AUGGCAUCCAAGAAAGGCCAAGGCAAGGCUAAGAAGGGAGCUGACCUAGAAGCAGAGGAGAGGAGGGAGGAAAUGGCGGUGCUGCGGAAGAACAAAAUUGUCUUCGCGCCGGUGCUGGAGCACGAGGACUUGGUGCAGCGGUACUUGCUCAUGUGGGGGAGGGAAACGGCUUCCCAUCACGCGCCACAAAUCUUCCUCGGCUCUGCCAAGUACAGCGGAGACAAGUAUCCCUUUUUCACCACGUAUUUCUUUUCCAAGAUCAUGUACACGUAUGGAUUCCAUCUUCUCGACUUCACACCAAACGCCAUGACCCUCAUGUCUGUCUUUGCACACAUGUGCGAGAAUUUUGUUGGGUUAGCGCCCAACGUUGCCCUCUUCCGCCACUAUUUUGUCCCCACACAUCGAAGCAGACGUCCCUUCCAGCGGCAUUACUUGGCUCCCUAG